rnacentral:rRNA from 1 species
UACGGAGGGUGCAAGCGUUAUCCGGAUUUACUGGGUUUAAAGGGUGUGUAGGCGGGCAUUUAAGUCUGGGGUGAAAUCUCCGAGCUCAACUCGGAAACUGCCUUGGAUACUAUUUGUCUUGAAUUAUGUUGAGGUUGGCGGAAUAUAACAUGUAGCGGUGAAAUGCAUAGAUAUGUUAUAGAACACCGAUUGCGAAGGCAGCUGACUAAGCAUAUAUUGACGCUGAGGCACGAAAGCGUGGGUAGCGAACAGGAUUAGAUACCCCCGUAGUCC